AUUUCAGAUUUGGAGUCCAUUUGAGCAGCUGGAGUUCAUAGAUAUCUCUUAUUAUUGCUAAGGUCGAUGUCCCACUACCAAUCAACUUGAUGAGUCUAGAAGAGAGCAGAUCUCUGCCGAAUAAGAUGCUCCUCUAAGCAUAAGAUGGCCGAAAACCUUUUCCCCAAUAAAAGAAUGUCAAGUUUGCAAAGUGUCUUCCUUUGAAUACAUGAGCAAGGAGACUGUCAGGCUCAUUUAAAAUCCUCCAUGCUUGCUUUGCACGUAAGGCUUGGUUGAAAUCUUUUAUAACUCUAACAAGCUAAUACUUUUGAGACCUGGAGGAGGAGCAUAGUAAGCAUCUUCUUAGUUUCUUCCAACAAAUAAAACAAACCAGAAUCACUAUCACAAUAAAAACGAAUCCUCCGAUAGUUUUCCCAGCCACCAAUCAUGUUGAUAACUCAUAAGAUGGAGUUCGAGGAGAUCCUCUUACGCCGCCCCUUAAGAGAUUCGGCGGUGGACCUGAGACUGAAGGUAAAGGCUUUCGAGUAGGGAUCCAGGAGGAGUAAUAGCUGCAGGAGGAGAGGGCUGAGGAGCAGGAGGAGGAGGACAUGUGAGAUUAGUGGUCGGCUGCUGAGGAAGAGUGUAGAGAAAAAAUGUGUUUUUUUUAAUUGCUGAGAAGAAGAAAGGUAUAAUUGGAAUCUUAUGUUCUCAUUUGCAUUGAAGAAAUGAACAAAGUAUCUCAGUAGCAAAAUGUGUCUUAUUGUGAUAUUAUAAAGAUGAAAAGUGACCUCAGACGUAAUUGUAAAUUCAAGUCGUAAAUAAAAUUAGAAGCUUCGCCUUAGAAUGAGGAAGGGAAAAUAAGAAUUCUCGGGGCUGCAACGACGGUGACAAAACAUUGUUUCUCCGUUGAAUUUUUUACAUCAAGAGGCACUUUAUCACUUUUCAAUUACAUCCAAGACCUGCACUUGCAAGACACUUUCUUAUAGUACCUACAGAGAGAAUUGACAGAUUUACCCUUAAAGAGAAGAAAAAGAAGUCUUUCUUAGGUUAGAGGAAAUAGAAAGUGUGUUUUUUUAUUAUUAUUUAGUUCACUUCUUAAUAAUUUGUUUUUGUUUAUUUUUAAAUGAAAAAUACAUAUAACAAUUUUUGUUGAUAUAAUAAAUUAUAUAUUUUUAUUCUCUAUGAUUUGAUAUCCACUUUGAUAUGUUUUUUUGUUACAUUUUAAAAUUUAUACUUGUACAUGUAUCCAAUGAUUGUGUUAUGGAUGAGUGAUAUGUGGAUGUUUGAAAGAAGUAAAUGAUUACAUGUAGAAUAUAAGCAUAGAGGGCACAUGUGGAUGGGUGUGGAAAGAUAAGCGUGGAUAGGUAAACAUGGACGGCUAUUUGUGGACGAGUAAAAUUAUGAUUAAAAUUCAAAAUUCAGUAUACAUAUCUCAUGGUGGAGGACUGUGACGAGCUCGAACCACCGCAUCUUCACCGAGCUCAUCCACGAAGAUGUUGAGCUCGAAAUCCAUGGCGUGACUCACCGGGAAGAGGAGUUGAUUCGUUUUGACCGGGGGUUUAAGAGGAGGAGCUGGCUCGUUUUAACUUUUUGGUUUGUUUAGCUUUGUUUUCAUCACUCAAGCUUUUUUUUCCAUGGACAUGUACGUGGCCGUCAUUGGUUUGAAAUUAUUAAUUUGUUCAUCCUUGAGAUUGUAGACACAUUGGCAUCCAUAUUGAUAUCUUGUGUAUUUA